rnacentral:rRNA from 1 species
UGCUCAGUAACACGUGGAUAACCUACCCUUAGGACCAGUAUAACCCCGGGAAACUGGGGAUAAUCCUGGAUAGAUUAAGUUGCCUGCUAUUGGUUUUUCAUUUAAAUGCUCCGGCGCCUAAGGAUGGGUCUGCGGCAGAUUAGGUAGUUGGUCGGUAAUGGCUUACCGAGCCUAUGACCUGUACUGGUUGUGAGACCAAG